CUGGAAACGCGCCCCAGGCGCACCCAGAAACCCUUUGUGAACUUAUACCUUACUGUUGCCUCGGCGCUAGCUGGUCCUUCGGGGCCCCUCACCCCCGGGUGUUGAGACAGCCCGCCGGCGGCCAACCCAACUCUUGUUUUUACACUGAAACUCUGAGAAUAAAACAUAAAUGAAUC
rnacentral:misc_RNA from 1 species